AGAAAUGGUAAAUUUAAUUAAAGCUCUAUUAGUUAGAAAUUCUUUGUCAAACAAGCUCUUUCUUUAAAAAAACUGGAAAGAAUCCUUACUACUAUAUACGAGGGCCACCUAGCUUAGGCUAGUCAUAAUUCGUGAAUACUCCUUCUUUGCCAGGGCUAGCUCCAAUUCUAUUAUAAAAAAAAGUGAAUGGUGCUGCAUCUUCUUAGUGAA
rnacentral:lncRNA from 1 species